AUCUGGGGCGGGUGAGCCGCCUUCGCCGGCGACCUUCCGCCCAGAGCGCGCGAUGGGCGCGGGGACAAAGGCGCCAGAAGCCGGGCUGCGAGAACCUCGGUGCCUCAGCACCCUGGAAAAGUUCGGUGGCUUUGUGACUGGAUUUCCUUUGGCAGUGUUAGCCGGCUCCCCGCCCCCUUUCCUGCCACUCUCUUGGCAGACGUGGAACGUGAGGAAACAGGAGAGUGAUGUGCUUUAUUAACUCCAUCCAAACCCCUAGGUCAAGAUUCCGCCCUCCCCCAGGCCCUUUUCCACCCGCCCAAGCCUCCCCUGCCGGGUGUAGCCCACGCAUCCAGCGGGGACGGACUGGCAGUGACUACUCCCGGGAGGGAAACUUCCUGGCUGUUCUUUUCGUUGGCGCCGCCUGAAACCCUGAGCAGGCGGGUGCGUGUGCACGUGUGCCUCCAAAUCCUGAAAACCCGCCAGCAGCCUGGCACAUCUGGGGCUCCCACCACGCAAAUUCAUGCCAGAGAGCAGUAAAGCCCAGGUCAACUGCUGGGAGACAAUGGACUGUGCUCUUAAAGGCUGGCCAAGCCCGAGAGCUCGGUAAAAUGACGGCCCGACUCUGGAGUCCUGUGCAAAGCCUAACACUUGAGGCCGGUGUUUCUUUUUUUCCUCCCUAAAAUAGCAGGGGAAAGGGAGCAGUGUUGUUUGGUUUUGGGGGUGUUCAGUUUCUAGGAAUUUCCCCUUAGCUAUAGAAAUGGUGAUUGCUACUCCUCAGUGUUCUCAACCUCGGGAAGAAUGGGUAAUAUCUGUAUGUUCAUUUCUCCUGCACAUAGUUCCUCUGAUUCUAACACUUUCUCCUUCUCUUCCUCUAAUCCUCCUCCCAUAUGAUAGCAUCGCUGUUACCCCUUUCAUCCCAGAAAAGAGCGGUGCUUCCCCUGCCCUCCUGACCCUAAUUUCUGUCAUUUCCCUCAGAAAGUCUCCUUUCCCUGUUCCUGGGUGGCAGAGCACGGGGAGGAGGACCUGACUGGGCUACCCCACAGCCUCCCCAGCCCCGCAGUCCGGUGAGGGGCACUUUUCUGGACUGGAUUGUGUCCCUCCCAGUUCAUUUGUUGAAAGACCCAAUCCCACACCACCUCAGAAUGUGGCUGUAUUUCAAGACUCCCCCUUCAAAGAGGUAAUUCAGAUAAAAUGAGGUCAUUCGGGUGGGGCCCAAUCCAGUAGGACUAGGGUCCUUAUAGGAGGAAAUUUGGACCUGGCCGCAUACACACAGGCAAAAGACUGUGAGGGUAGCAAGAAGGCCCAGCCAGGCCGCAGGGAAGCCAGCCCUGCCAACACCUCGACUGUGGACUGGAAGCCUCCAGAACUGUGAGACAAUACGUUCUGCUGUUGAAGCCACCCAGUCCAUGGUGUUUUGUUAUGGCAGCCCUAGCAGACUGACAUGGGCACGAAGGAAACCUGCCUGGAACAUUCCUGUGGCCCUCCAUCCUCUUCCAUGACUUGGAAACUACCUGGGAUGGCUUUGGCCCAGCACAGUUUUGUUAUAUUCCAGGUCAACUGAGCCCAUAAAGAGAGAUGUCAAGAGCCGUAAUAUUGAUACCACUGCAGAUGACUCUCCAUUCUGACACUUCAGAUUUUGUAAUAAACAGUGCAGCUGGGGACCACGGUAAAAGAUUUACAUUUCACUGUUACUUUUAUUACAGGUCUGUGCUCAAGAAUGUACAAUGUUUUAAGCACACUUCUUGUUCAAAGGAAUUUGAACAGAAUUGUGUUCAGUUCUUCCAGACCCUGGGUAUAUCCUCUUCUUCAGCUGUUAAUUGU
ensembl:lncRNA